GAGUUUGAUCCUGGUUCAGGAUGAACGCUAGCGGCAGGCUUAACACAUGCAAGUCGAGGGGCAGCAUGUCCAGCAAUGGAUGAUGGCGACCGGCGGAAGGGUGCGUAACGCGUGAGCAACAUGCCCUAUACAGGGAGAUACACCAGGGAAACUUGGUCUAAUAUCCCAUAGCAUUCAUUGAAGGCAUCUUUAAUGAAUUAAAGCUUCGGUGGUAUAGGAUUGGCUCGCGUGACAUUAGCCAGAUGGUGAGGUAACGGCUCACCAUAGCAAUGAUGUCUAGGGGUUUUGAGAGGAAGGCCCCCCACACUGGGACUGAGACACGGCCCAGACUCCUACGGGAGGCAGCAGUGAGGAAUAUUGGACAAUGGAUGGAAAUCUGAUCCAGCCAUGCCGCGUGCAGGAAGACGGCCUUAUGGGUUGUAAACUGCUUUUAUACGGGAGCAAUAAGGGUUACGAGUAAUCCGAUGAGAGUACUGUAUGAAUAAGGAUCGGCUAACUCCGUGCCAGCAGCCGCGGUAAUACGGAGGAUCCGAGCGUUAUCCGGAAUUAUUGGGUUUAAAGGGUGCGU
rnacentral:rRNA from 1 species